rfam:Rattus norvegicus chromosome 13, whole genome shotgun sequence.
GGGGAUUUAGUUCAGUGGUAGAGCGCUUGCCUAGCAAGCACAAGGCCCUGGGUUCGGUCCCCAGCUCCG